GCUGGGGUAGAAAAAAAAUGAAUGGUUUUCUUUUCUUUUUCUUUACUUGCUGCUCAGAGAGACAAGGAGUGCUCUUCUCAUAGAAAAAGAGACUGAAUUUCUGUUCUCUUGCCCUGACAAACAAAACAGCCCAUGAAUUAAAAAACAAAACAAAAACAAACAAACUACCACCACCAAAAACCCAAUAUAACUAAGUUCUCUUAGGAAAAUACGUACAAAUUGGAGACCUUAAGACCCAAGAGUCUUGAGAAUCAACUAACUGAGACUGCAAAUUUCUGCCGGGCGUGGUGGCGCACGCCUUUAAUCCCAGCACUUGGGAGGCAGAGGCAGGCGGAUUUCUGAGUUCAAGGCCAGCCUGGUCUACAGAGUGAGUUCCAGGACAGCCUGGGCUACACAGAAAAACCUGUCUCAAAAAAAAAAAAAAAGAGUGCAAAUUUGUUAGCAGAGAGGCUAAAGCCUCACAGUAGUUGCGAUAGUUCACUUCGACAAACUCGUAUGAAUUUACUUUUCCUUAUUUCUCUGUCCUUUCUCUUUGCUUCACUGGAGUUUGAACGCAGGAGCUCAGGGCCUGGCACAUGCCAGGCAAGCACCCCACCGUUAAGAUAUAUAUAUAAUCAACCCUUAUUUGCGGUGUAGCCAUGGGUAACUACAUACCUGGAAUCUUCUUGCCUCAGUUCUCAGAGUGCCUGACCUGCAGGUGUGGACCACUGUAUGGGCUUCAUGAUAAUAAACCCUUUAUAUCUACAUUUGACUUCCAGAGCAAACCACGUAAUUAAAUACUCUUCUAAAUCCCAUCUUGUUAGAGGUUAAACCCUGUGAGAACCUAAGAAGGUCGUGUUCUUUCUCUCAUGAGAGUGGGGCUGGGGACUUUAAGAAGUGUGUAGGCUCCAGGGCCCUAAAUAUGUAUGUAGCUGGCUAUUUAUGAAAUAAACCCUGUCAUUGCCCCUUGUGUUGUAGGUGAGGCUUAAAGAGAUUGAAUAGUUUGCAGGAGGUUAUUGAAUCACUAAAUUGCAGAAUGAGAUCAGAGCUCAUGUUUGUAUUUGACUGAAAUUUGUAUCAGUCAACACUGCUGCCACCGAAGUGUGAGUUGCCAACUAGGAUUUGUCCUGACCUCAGUCCUAGCUUUGUAUCCCUUGUCUGACACGACCAGGAAUGUGACGGCUGCAUAGACCCUUCCAUCAAUACUGUCACCACUGACGGUAGCCAAGAUGCCCAUAUUCGCUCAAGGCAAAUUGUUUUAUUUAUCAACAAGUACAAGGUGUUUCUGUCCAGUCCUCUCUUUGUCUUUAACUUUAAUUUUGUUUAUUCUUGGGAGCCAUGAUUGUAAAUGAUCACCUAUGGUAAGGCUAAUGUCCAUUCCCUGAUUAAUAUCCAACAAUGAUUAGCAUCAUUGAUUGGAAAAUUAGUAAAUUAUGCCCCCAUUGACGUUUCUAGCUCCCAUUUAAUAGCUUGUUUACUUAAUUGAUAGCUAAUGUGUUGACUUUUUAAAAGCUAUUAACACAUCAAAAUAGUAUUUAUUGAACCUGGCAAAAUGAUAAAUUAUGUGUUUGUUUACUCUUUCAUUCCCAAGGCUGAUCUAUCAGUGGUCUUGUCCUUUUUUUUAUUUUAUUUUAUUUUAUUUUUAAUGGUUGUUCGUUUGUUUUUGGUUUGGUUUUGUUUUUUAAAUUUUGUUUUGUUUCUUUAUAAUUUGUUUUAAUCCUCUGAGGUUCUUUACCUAGGAUAUCAAGUAGAGCAGCGUAAUUUCUAGAAAGCAUGACCUUGGAAAAGUUGCCUGACUUUUCCUGGGCGUUCCCAACAAAUGACUCUCUAAAACAAAGCAGCUUCUGAGAGAAGUUCCGUAGGGUUUCUUCACUCAAGUCAGAAUCCUCAAAAGAAAAGAAGUGCCCUACGAGCACUGAAUGUAUGCAUGAUUUGCAUCUGUUUUUCUACCCACGCGUUUUGUUGGUCCUGCUGAGGAAAUGAAGUCAUCUUAGGCAGAAAAGCUUUAAGAGACCAAUAUUCUCCUACUUAACUUUCAGGAAGAUGGCUGCCAAGGUGGGCUGCCCCUGCUUCUCAGUGUGCUCUGCAUUGUGUAGAAAUGUCGCUGGUCCCAUGCUCGUUUUAGUACUGUUUGCCAGCACAGGUUUGAAGCCACCCUUUUGAAAUGGAGUUUAUUUGUGAAACAGUCUUGUUCCAUAGGCACACCUCAAUGCUUACCAUCCUUGAAGGCUUAGUAUAUCAGCACUUGGCUCUUCCCAGCCCCCUCUAAAACAUCACAUCAGUUCUCAAGAGAGAGUAUUUACCACAGUUAAUUAUAUUCAGGGAAAAAAAAACCCAAUGCUUAAAAGCCUUCUAGGCCUUUUCACAGAGGAAUUUCGGUAUCAUAUGGAGAAAUGGCUGCCUCAUUUGAGGAAGGCUGAAAGCCCUUACUGGAUGCUUUGAAGGCAAUAAUAGUUAUCUGGAUGAGUUGUAGCAUACUUUUAGAAGUUUAAUUUAAUAUAUGUAUGUAUAUGUUUGUAUAUGUAUGUAUAUGUUUGUAUAUGUAUGUGUAUAUAUAUAUAUAUAUAUAUAUAUAUAUGCAUACACACACACACACACACACACACACACACACACACACACACACACACGGGGACUUAGGGAUGGUUGACCAGUGGGUAUGUGCACGUAGGUGCAGCUGCCUGUAGAAGCCAGGGAUGCCAGAUACUCAGGCUGUUAUAGAGAGAGGCUUAGAUGGGCUCUGGGAAUGCAACUCAGGUCUGUUGCAAGAGCAGUCCACUCUGAGCUGAGCCCCAGAUUGUAAUAUUUUUGGAAGCAAAGCUACAGCAUGUUACAAACCUUUACCCAUCACACGAGUAAGGACCAACCAGGAUGGAGCUCUUAGUGGACC
rnacentral:lncRNA from 1 species